CCCAAUAAUAUAUAUAUAUAUAUAUAUAUAAUAUAAUCAAAAAUAUAUAUAUAAAUUUAGGUAGGCUCGCGAGCUUUCAACCCGAGUACUUGCUUGAUGUGGGAUAAUUGAGUAAAGGGAAUACAAAAUGGCUGUUCUCAGAUUUGAACUGGCAGCAAACUAAAAACAGUGAUAUCUUGGCACACAAAGCUCUGAUUCUAAUGAUUCCAAAGCCAAAAGAAAGUUAAGAUUCUGAACUAUGAAAAGCACAUAUGAAUCAUCCAAAACCACAAAGGAAACAUGAAGAACCAACUCGAAAUAAUUUGCCAUCUGGCAGUGGUGAAAAUGGUGAAAAAAUGGAUUUGGAUAGAUAAAAGCCCACCACCCUAAGGAACCUAAAACCUUAGAGACACAGAGCAAGAUGCACUCACCACCCCAAGGAUACAAGACUAGCCACUACCUUAGAGAAAUAGAAAUGUUAAGUCAGUUCACCACUCAAUGGAAUCCACCAAAGAGAUACAAAACUAGAGAAGAAAGCACAAAAGGCUCUUCAAAUUUUUUAAUAUAAUUAGUUCAAAAGUCCCCUUAACACUACAUAAGAAACAUAUAAAUAGAUAGCCAUGGAACAUCCCUCCAAGCAUAGGAAAAUGGAUAAUUUAAUGACUAAUUUCAUUCUUAGCAAGC
rnacentral:lncRNA from 1 species